GGAUGUGAGGGCAAUCUGGCUGUGACAUCUGUCAGCCCAUUGAUCGUCAGGGUUGAUUCAGCUGAUCCGGUCGGCCAGGCCCCUGUCCCCUUUCUCCUUCACUGCUCCAAGAGCAUCCCUCCCAAAGCUGCGUGCUUGGAGGAAGAGGACGACCACCCCUGAUAGUAGCUGUGCUCCCCUGCUAGAACCUCUGAACAAGUUCUCAUGGUCAAAACCAGAACAAUAAAGGACUUUAGUCAAACAGAUGUGCAACAUGGGUUGGGAUGAAAUCCCUAUUUCA
rnacentral:snRNA from 1 species